CAUCUCAUGUGGGAGACUGGGUAUUAUAUCUUUUAACUAUUCAAUUAGGGUCUUUCCAGAAAGUGGAUUUGGAGGUUUAUGGUGGGAAGUAUGAUUUAUGGUGAAUGUUUAUUGUAUCCAACUAUAGAAUGGAAAGAACCAUACUAUUAGUACAUGCCUUUGGUACAAGGCAUGUACUAGACAUAUCCUACUUAUGUGAUGUCUAAGUGUACCAUUAUGCUUGAGGCACCUUUGUUCAAAUUUUAGACACAUUUAAGAGGUUCUGGAGAUAUAUCAAAAGGUAUUUAAAAUGAAUCUUAUUCAUUGAAUCUGUGUCAGUGUAGGGGCGGGGGCGUGAGGCGAAAUAUCAUC
rnacentral:misc_RNA from 1 species